rnacentral:misc_RNA from 1 species
UUGCAUCCCCCACCCAUUGGAGCCAUACCAAUUUUACAUCCUCCAACCAGUGGAGCCAUACCGAUUUUACAUCCUCCAACCAGUGGAGCUAAACAAACUCCCUCAACAAGUGGAGCCAUACCAGCUUUACAGUCAUCAACCAGUGGAGCCAAUUCAACUGUAGAUCUCAUUACCAAUGGAGCCAAUGCUUUACCGCCUCUUGGCAGUUAUUUAAACAUGAUACCCACCAGUCAAGUCAGCUCGGUUGAAUCUGCUCCCCCGAUAUUGUCAAAGCAACCAAAUAUCUCAUCUCCUGUGUUGUCAAGAGAAACGAGUGGCUCUCCUCCGAUGUUAUCAUCGACUGCUUUAAAGCGAAAGAUGUUUCACUACCUGCCUCCAUCCCCACCUAAACCAUAUGUUAACAACACACAUACAUUUGCUGCUGCUUCAUCUGAUGUUCAACGUGACUACAUGACAGAAAAACUCAACAGAGAAUUUGCACACCUCAUUAAGAAACAUGGUGCCAUGUCAGCCACAGACAAUCUCAUCCUGAACCACUACAUUAAGCUACAGGAUGAUGAGAGACACCAUGUCAUGAAACAAGGGAGUAUAAGAGGAUUCCUUCAGAACUCAAAGUAUCUGGAAUUGCGGGGAACAAUGUUGCAUCUGAAAAUAACCCCUCCGAAUAGUCCACCCCCUGGUGACCCUAAGCAAAGCAGUUCUCAAAUGUCUCAUUUCCCUGGCUACCAAUGUGGAUAUGGAGGAGACCUGUUGUCAGGCGAUCCAGACCUUGAGGAUGAGGAUGAUGAUUUAGAGGAGGCAUUUCUUGAGGCGAAUUCUCCAUCUAACAUGCCAGGAAUUGUUCCCUUAGUGCCAUUAGAUGUUGGAGAUGGGCCAGUCAAAUGUGAAGAAGAUGCAAAUGAAGCUAGUGAAUCAAAUCUCAAUAUUCCUGGAAAAGAGAAUGCUAUUUCAAUGGUACCAGGAGGUAGUAAAGAUAACAUACUAAGUGGUGCCAUACAUGGAUCCCAGGAUAAUACACAAAACGGUGCUAUGAAUGAUGGGAAUGUGCUUAACCAUGGUAAUGAUCUGAUAGAUUGUAGUGCUACAGACCAACAUGAAAAACCUUGUACAUCUAAACUAGAGCAAGAGACAAUUCAAGAUCCUAAAAAACUUGGUAAAGGAAGUACUGGGUUAACAUUACAAAGUGUCAACCAUAUAGACCCUGGCUUAGACAGUCCAUUGAACAAAUUGGAGAAAUUUGAAUUUAUUGGACUGAAUGGGAUUUCCAAGAUUAUGGAUGAAUUUGAACUGGCUGCAAAUGAUAUUGUAGCCGAAGCAAUACUUGGUGCUAAGAAACAAAUGCUUGCUGAAAAGGAAGAGGAAUACAGGGCAAAGGAACUUGAAAUGAAAGUUUUGAGGAUGCCCGAAUUAGCUACCAGUCCUGAAAUGCAGUCUAGAUUUGAUAAGAAAAUAGAUGAUAUUAUCAAAAUGGGCAAAGAAUUGCAAUCUUAUCCUAAAGGUGCUAACAAGGAAGCUUGUUUUGAAGAGCAUGCAGACAUUGAAAUGGAGAGUAUUACAGAAACUUCCAAAACUGGGGAGGAGAGUGUAACAGCCGCAGAAAGACAUGAUGGGGAUGAGAAAGUAACAGCCUCUGCAGUGAAUACAGAUGAAAGUGUAACAGUCUCUUUAGAUAAUACUGACAAGGAGCCUGUAACAGACUUUGGAGAGAGUGUUAGUGAGGAACAUAUAACAGCCAAUAGUGAACUUAUUACAGCUAAUACAGCUAAUCUCAUUGUUGAUGAUGAGGAUCAAAGUUGUGUGUUGGAACUUUUAAAAGAAAUAAGAAGCAAUAUAGAUGCCCUAAGUAAAACCAAAAAGAAUAAAGCUUUGGAGAAAAAAGAAUCUAGACUUUCUCUAUUGAAUGAACUCCUAACAGCUUUCAAUGAUGAAUCGAUGACCGAAGCAGAAUUAGUUGAAAAUAUGAGUAAAGCCUCUAAUAUUGAAAGCAGAAGUAUAACUAUGAACCCCAAUGUGAAGGAGUUUACACCUAGAGCAUUCAGUCCACUCCAGAAAUCAUUCCAGCCCAUUGGUACCCCUCCAAGACCCUAUAGUAAUAACAGUUCACUCAAUGCAUUCAGUCCUGAAUUCAAGCCAAGGAAUAUCGGCACUCCCCUGACACAAAGUCCAGCACACACACAGACUGAUCGUUUAGAUUUGGUAACUGUGGCAACCAACACUAAAAAGACGAAACAUGCAGACUGUGCACAACAGGUUGAGAUGCAGGAGACCAGAGAGGUUAUGAUCAACACAGUUGAAUGUCUCUUUGAUGGCACCUCAGACUUCCACAUUCCAAUCAUCAAGACAAAGGAUAAGGGAGUUCAUGCAAAGCCAAACACCAAUGACAAGGUCACCUGUACAAGGAAAGAAAUGAGCUCAGAUGUGGGGUCCAAUACAGAGUCAGGCUUUGUUGAAUGUUUGGCAGAGUUUGCGGAGAUGAAGGAAAGAGCACUCAAUGCAGAGGUGAAGGUUUUGACCCUGAUGAGCCAUUUCUGCCAAGAUACUAUGAUACAGAUGUAUUAUGAACAACACUACAAACAUCAGAGACAUCGCCAACUGUUCUCUGCGAGUUCACCUGCUGAAGUGGCAUUAGAUGCAGAGUACACCAGCAUGUUAGCCCAGAUACAAGGCAACAUCAAUGACAUACAACAGUCCUACAAAGAAAGCCUCGCCAAGUUGAUGUCUGGCAGUACACUAUCUGACUUGGCAGAUGUCACAGAUAAGUGGACCUCAAGAUUUCAGCUGGAUCAGUUUUUAAAUAGCAGUUCUAUUGUGCCAGAGUUUCUACCUCCUACAAAUGUUCCAGUCAGUACAUCUAUACCUUAUGUAUUCAGUCAGGUUGACAAUGAAAUUACCUGCUCCAAGCCUAUCAACUCUAUGCAAGGUGCACAUGACACUGAUCUCAGACCAUCAGCAUUCAGGCCUCGUCAUAAGAGUGCAGCUAGUAUUUUAGCAGAACUACAAACACAAAAUGCAAGCUUGCCUGCAGAUGCAUCUUCUACUACUGGCAGUGUAAAUACUGAUACAUCACAGGGUGCUACAACACAGGUUCCUAGCAAUGGUGGCUUCAAGAAGACGUUACGCCGCCCCAGAGUGAGGUUGGACUCUGAGAGGUCUGAAGCAAGCCAGCAAAGUGCAGCAGCAAGCUCAGUUACAGUCAAGUCAUCGUCUGAGGCUCUCUCACCUUCCAAACUACCUCCUGGUUUAGGCUUAGAUAUACAGAGUCCCGAGAGAAAAGAAACAAAAAGAAGAGUAUUACGACCAGCAAAAACAAAGAAGUCUGUGUAUACUGCUGGUAAAAGAAAACCUAGUGAUUCAAAUGAACAAUAUAGUGCAAUAGGUAGCAUGGAGCCAGCAGUCUCAUCCACAAGCACAACUGGAAGCCAGCUCCUACCCGAGUCAUUGCCCCAGUCUCUAGCAUUAGGCCAAGGUGAUCCUGGUCAAACUAAACAAACGACUAAUGCUAUGCCAGAUACAGUGUCUUUUGCUAACAGUGGUCAACCGAUUGAUGACAAUGCUCUAUUAGAGCAGCAGAUGUUUGAGCAACAACAGGUGCUACAGGAACAGCUUCAAAUGCAGCUGUUAUUACAGCAGCUUGGAAGUGAGAAUUCACAGCAGCAGUUAGAUAUGGAGUCCAUUGAUCCUAUGCUACAGCAGGCUGUGAUGCUGCAGCUGUUACAAUUGAACCCAUCCCUAGCUGCUAAUCCACAGCUGCUGCAGGUGUUGAUCAUACAACAGCUGAUGGCUAUUCAGGUACAACAGCAGAGUAUAGAACCCCCAGCUGAAACGACUACAGCUGCAUUACCUACAGCUGCUCUCAAUCAACCUCAUGCUGUCGGUCAUCCUGAGCAAGAAGUCAAACAAGCAAAUUCAGGUGCUAUUAAGGAAGGAAUGGGUUCAGCAGCAGAGGGCAUAUUAAGUAAUCAACAAGAGAACCUUCUCUCUGCACUAGAGCUGCCUAGUCCCAGUGUUGAAUCACAGGAGAGCUAUCACUCGGCCUCUAGUCAACCCACUAGUCAAGCAACUACUAGUCAUACAGCCACUCUUAGUCAGGGCACUUUGCUCACCAGGGAAACAUCAAUGGUAAAUAAAGCUGCAAUCCAGUCAGCCCCAGUGCAGCGAGAGUCAACCAGCAAUGUAAUAGCCCAAGUGGAGGCUACACCAGGCCUAGACUCUAUCACUACUACACAGAUCACAAAACCACUUCCUAUCCCUUCAAACCAAUCCAAGGUCUCAUUGUUGGAACACGAGUCUCACAAUGUACAGACCAUUACUACUUCCAAGGCUACAUCACAUACCAAUGACCUUCCACAAUCCAGUAUAAGCAUAGAUUUAGCAAGAAGACCAGAAAAGCCAUCAGAAUGCUAUGUUCCAGAUGAAGAGUUUGCUGUCGUAAAAAGAUCCAAGAGAAGUAAAAGUAGCAGCCUGUCGCUGUCAGACAGCACACAAAGAGAUAGAGAGUCAACACCUGAAAAUUGGUGGGAUACCAAGGACUCUUCAGAAGAUUUGGCCAAUUCACUCAAGGGCCACUGGAAAAGUGGACCAAGUUUCAGUGAAUCUCUUGGUUCUAGAUCUAACUCUCCUGCUUUGGGUGAAUCUCCUCGAGAUGCAUGGUCAGUGAAGAAGGAUUACACAACGCAGUUUGCUGCUCCACCAGUUGAGCAGGCAAACUUCCGUAAACCACUUCCCAUCGUGGCAAGUUCUAUCAACUCAGUUAAGCCAAAUAAGCAAACCAGCAAGACAGCACCUUUAAUAAGUGCUAGAGCCCUCUCAGGACAAAAUACCCCUUCUCCAACAUUGGGGCUGCCAUCUGAAAAACCUGAAAAAACUAUGCCAUCAAUUAAAAAGCAAGAUUCCAAAGAUUCCAACUAUGGCCUGGAUGACUUUCAGGAAGUUAAAGUUGCAAGGAAGCCAGAAUCUUCAGAGAAUGUGGAAGAUAACAAGUCUGACAUUUGGACUCAGGUGUCAAAGAAGAAGAAACCUACAGGUGGCACCAGUGAUACAGUAGCAAAAAUAUACACAACAAGCAAGAAUAAAUCUUCCAACUUUGAGAGGCUAGUCAGCAAACUUAUGGAAAACUUUUCAAUUGCUAGGGCAGAUGCAAUAAAUCUGAUCUCUGAAGUCCGUGCCCAACAUGGCAGUCUGAGUGGAGUUUCCAUGAACCAGAUACUGAAGGAUGCUGGUACAUGUAUGAAACAAAUGAAUGCUGCAAAGUCUGGAGAGGGAUUGGUGUACACUGCAGAGGACUUCAAGAAUAUGAAAUACAAGACUCUCAUGUGUCAAGCCUGGCAACAGACUGGAGUGUGUAAGAAGAGAGAUGAUUGUAUAUUUGCACAUGGAAAGACUGAGCUGAGAAAACUCCCUAAAACCCAAAUGUGCAACAAUACAACAUUCUUUAAAACUGGACGAUGUCCAUAUGGUGCUUCCUGUGUGUUUGCUCACAGCUCAGAUGAGCUACAACCUUUGAUGCAAGCUGUUCCCAUGACAACACCACAGCAGCCAGCAGUCCAACAAACCACUAACCCCAACAAUGCCAAUUAUGCAGCCAUUGUCAAGCCUAAGGUCAUCAAGACCAGCAAUGCUUUUGGUGCUCUUGAUGAUAAUGAGAGUGACAGUGAUGGUGAAGAGUGUGCCAUUUGUUACUGUAAUAUGAAAGAGGGACAUGAGAACACAUUGGACUGUGGACAUGUAUUUCAUGAUGAGUGCAUCAAGAAGUGGGUGCUUGGAGAGGAAAGGACAUGCCCACUAUGUAGAAAGCUGACAUUAUUUCCUGAUGAGUUCCCAAAGCUAGGGAAGUAAUAUGACAUAAACAAAGUAAUGUGACAUCUCAUCAUAAGUGCUCCCAUUAUGUUAAAGGCAGAAUCAGUAACAUUUCCAACUUUGUCUCAAUUUUAGAAUAUUUUGAGAUCAUAUCAUUCCUCUUUAUUUUCUAAAAAUUUUAAAAGUUCAUCCAGUACCUCAUUCCAGGGAAACAUGAUACUGUUAGUCAUACUUAAUUUGGCAUAUUGACCCAAAUUAGAAAAAAUGUCAAAGAUACGUAGGUUCUUGUUACCUCUUGCCAAGUAUUGGAUGUUAUUAUUGUGAUUAAAAUGGUCCAGUUUAUUGGAUAAAAUCAGACUGGUCUUGAACAUUAAACAUUUGAACUUUGAUGCACUAUUCUUCCAAACACAGAAAUGACACUUGACAAAAUAAUUCUUUUGGGAUUUCUGAAAAAUUGGCAAUAUGAAUUGGCAACUCUUUUUUCAAAAUCUGCGCCAAAUUAAGUAGAGUAAAAGUAUUUGCAUUUUGUACUUAGAAUCUGAAAUAGCUUAACCAUCUGAUAUGGUAUCAUGCAUAGUUUAGAAGAUAAUAUAUUUGAGAAGUAAAAUGACACAUUGGUAAAUCAAUUGUGCAUAUUGCUUGCAAUUUUAUUACUCCUAAACACUUGAAUCUGCCUUUACAUAUGACUUCUGGCAUGGCCUGCAUUGUAAGCUAGUAAGCUAGUACUCAUGCAAGACCAAUGAUAUAUACUACUGUUCUUAGUUAUAUACUCUAAAUCAAAGGUGCUAGGAUGUACUGUGCUUCUGUAAAGUGUAGGACUACAGCUCUUCAUAAACUGGAACUUGAGCCUGGAGAAUUCCAAAUUUUGGAAUAAGAUUGGAGAUUGAACCUACUUCUGAGACAACCCAGGAGAGGAACUUCUGCUUAUUAUUCUUCAUGAAGAAGCAUACAUUAUAUUCAUUACAUACAUAUCAUCAUCAGAUCAUGGUGAUAAAUUAUUUUUUAUAUCUUUUGAAAUUGCUUUUAUAUCUUUAGAUUUUGUUAACUCUUUAAGUUCAGUCUAUUGAGGUUGCCAAAUACAUCCCAUGUCAAAACUGCAUCAUGGAUAGAUGCAUGAGAUAUUUUGAAGAAAAAUAUUUGCUAAAAAAUAUUUAAAAGAGAACAAAUGUCUUGACAAAUGAAUCGACUACAUUUUCUGAUGGAUUAUACUCAAUCAAGACUUGACUAUUGCAAAUACAUUGGAGCAGUUCAAAAUUCCUUAUGCUGGAUUGCUGACUAAACUAAAGCUCUUCCUUCUUAUAUUAAAAAAAGUAUGAUCUGUUGAUUUUUUAUAUUGAGCUCUUUAGAUCUAUAGAGUGAAUGUCAUCUUUGAAAUGUUGAUUUUGUUAAAUACACCUACCAUACUUUCUGUAAUGAGCACACAGUUUGGUAUGUGCGCUUAUUGGAAUCUCAAUAACUUGGUCUUCUAAAUUUCAAUUUGAGAAGUGCAUUGUGUGUUCAAUAGAGAGAAUACGGUACUACUUGCAUGUUACAGGGUGGGCCAAAAACGGCCCAUUAAGCAAUUAGAGCAGUGCCAUAUUUGCAGAGACCAUUGAAAGGGAAUUCAAUUUCCAGUGAUUUGACAAAUUAUUUAUUAAAUAGUUUCAGUAAAACUAACGUGUUGAACUUUUAUUAUUUUUUGGAAUUCUCAAAUCUUGCAAUUUGGGAGUGUCAUUUUGACAAGUUUACCAGAUAUAAGUAAUCAAAAUGUAACAAACUCAGGAAGAUGUACUAGUAAAUGGAAAAACUAAUGUAGUAUAUGUUUUUUUAUACUUUUUCUCAAUAUAAUGGGGAAUCAGUUUCCCUCAUAAAUAUAAUUUCAUGAAAUUUCCAAAUGAUAUAUCAUAUUCAUAUAUCAUAUACUAGCCUAGUAUAGUCUUGGAAAUUGAAUUCUCAUUCCAAUGUUGCAUACUAUUAUCCUAUAAUACUGCAAAUUACAUUUUAAUGUAGGGGUAAAUACUCAAAGGAGACCAUUUUUAUUGGCCCACCCUGUAUUUAGCUAGCAACCCAGCAUAUGAUUGCUCUUGCACAAUAUAUAUUUAGGCUAAGUUACAUUAUGUAUUCAAUGCAGCAUUACAAUCAUUUUGUAAGUGAAUCAGUGUUUAAAAAGACGGAAUAUUUUUGUAAUGAAGCUGUUAGUUAAACAAAUAUAGUAAGCAUAUUAAAGCUA